ACAAAAACCUGUUUAUAGCACAGUCUAUUUCUUUCAUUUUCCUUGAAAAUACCAAACUGGUUGUUACAGAGACCCAAGGCUGAAAUAUUCCAAAGCAACGUUUCACUCAUCCUUCCUCCCAGAUUCUUUUCUCUGCUGCAGUCAAUUCCCCCUUUUUCCAUUUGUAGAGACAAAAGGGAACAUUCUAUAACCACUGGCCUCUGUCCAGGAACACAGGAGAAAAUGAAGCAAGGCAAACAACAGAGAAAAGUGAACAACAAAAGAACAAACUCAAACGAAACUGCUUAACAAUCCUACAGUGCAGACCUGGCAGAAAUAUAAAGCCCACAGUCAUGUCCUCCAGACUGGCUCUUCUGUCUGCUGAUUAGCUUUGAUACCAUCUUCAAUAGUUAGCCAGUGACUCCAGUGUCAGCAAAUUUCCUUCUUCUAUUAGAGAGGAAGAAAAAGUGGAUGAGGAAGACCCUUUGGACAUCGUCAAAAGAGGCAUUGUUAGCAAAUGACGGGGGGCCAGUCCUGAAAGCCUGUGAGGCUGUGAGCAACUCUCCCACCUGCUCUUCUCUGUCUGUCCUACUCCUCAUGACAAUGACUCUUAUCCUGGAGGGCCUGCAGUAGCGUUUGACACACGUACCUCAUUUAAUUCUCACAAGAGUUCUAUGAAACAGGCUAGGAUUUGGCAAACCAUUGUCAGCUACCUGUUUUUGUAAAUAUAGUUUUAUUGGAACAUAACCACCACAAUUUAUUUACAUAUUGUCUAUAGCUGCUUUUACUCUACAAUGGCAGAGUUGAGUAGUUGUGACAAAAGCUCUAGGCCCUGAAAAGUGCAAAAUAUUUAUUUUACUAUGUGGCCCUUUACAGCAAAGGUGUGUUGACCCCUCAGAUAAAUGGGACAUUGCUCCCACUUUACAUAUGAGGCACAGAAAAGCUAAGCGCAUUGACUGAGAUCAUUUGGGUUAUAAAUUAUAGUGUCAGAGAUGUCUCGGACCCAGAGACAACUGUUCCCUAUGCUUUUCUCCUCCCUACCUUAUAGCAUCUCCUACUCUUUCACAUUC
rnacentral:lncRNA from 1 species